GGAGAGGUGUGAAAACUGAUAUUAAAGCCUUGCGAGGUUCCGGUUGGCAUUCCGGGCAAUGAAUGUCUAUCGAGACGUCGCGGCGAUUGUUACGGGCUCAAGGGGAGUAUCGAGUCAUGACAAGAUUCAUGUUCAUUUGAGAGUGCAAUCAUGUUUUCUCCCAAACCCAUGUAUCUGUCUGGUUAUCUCACAACUCUCCCACUACAUCGAGGCACCACUAUUUGAUGUUUAGGUUGUGUUUCUGUUUCAACCAUUGAAUUAGACUGUGUUAUGACAUAUUCAAAAUUAACUGUUAAAUCUGAAGAAUCAGACAAUUCUUCUAAGACAAUUUUACUUUUAGGUUUGUGAUUUCUCACAAACUCUUCCUUUAAAAAAGUAGCAUUCGCACUAAUGAAAACUUUCUUAUCUUAAGGACUAUA
rnacentral:lncRNA from 1 species